rnacentral:sRNA from 1 species
GCCAGGCGUGGGGGCAUACACCUGUAAUCCAAGCAGCUCAGGAGGCUGAGGCAGGAGGAUCACAAGUUUGAAACCAACCUCAGCAAUGUGGGCCCUAAGCAACACAGAGAGAUCCUGUCUCAA